rnacentral:rRNA from 1 species
CACGUAGGGCGCAAGCGUUGUCCGGAUUCAUUGGGCGUAAAGGGUGCGUAGGUGGCAUGGUAAGUCGGAUGUGAAAUCCCGGGGCUUAACCCCGGAACUGCAUUCGAUACUGCCGUGCUUGAGGACUGGAGAGGAGACUGGAAUUUACGGUGUAGCGGUGAAAUGCGUAGAUAUCGUAAGGAAGACCAGUGGCGAAGGCGGGUCUCUGGACAGUUCCUGACGCUGAGGCACGAAGGCCAGGGGAGCAAACGGG